rnacentral:tRNA from 1 species
UAUCUAAAUAGUUUAAUAAAAAUAUUGGUUUGUGGAGCCAAAGAUAUAGGAUUUAUUUUGGAUAA